ACUCAAAUAUGAAUCACAGGAUAGGAGAUUUCAUACGUAGAAAUACUUAUUCACUUUCUAGCUUAGAAACAUACGGGGUAUUACAAAUACUUUUUAAUUAUGUUCGUAGUUAUAGUUUGGAUAUACUAAGGGCCCUGUCCCAACCAUAUUCUAUUGUACGACUAAAGAUUCUAUUAUAGGCUUCGCAGAUAGUUGUAAGUUGUUACAUAUAGCUAUAGUUUUACUUGUCUAGAUAAGUUGAGUUCAAUGGGAUAUAAUUGUAUUUACAUAGGGCCUCAUUAUUGUCUAGGAAUAAUAACUUUUCUGCUUGGUGUACAUAUCAGUUAUAUAGCACAUGUUUAUACAGUUCUUAUUUGUUCUGUCUAGGCUAAGGGACAUUACAUAUACAAAUAAUAUAUAUUUUAUUAUUAUUAUUUUGACUAGCGAAUAUAUUGUACAAAAUGAGAAAUUUACCGAAAUAAACAUACAAGAAAAUAAUAAUGAUUGUGUAUUAAUAUAUAAUUCCUUGUCCUGUAAAAAUGAAAAAAAUUACAGCCAAAUGUUUUUUGGGUGAUCUAAUGUAGAAAUUAUGUACACAAUAUAUAAGUUGUGUAUCCUUAUAAUAAAUACAUACAUACAUACAUAUAUACAUACAUGCAUAUAUAUAUACACACACGCGCGUGUAUACUUCAAUCAUUUUUGAUUUUAUAAAAUAAUUCACCGAACUGCAUUACUAUUAUAUAUAAGUGUGAUCAAAGCAAGCAACAAUUUGUCGUCAUGGUUGUUUGCCUACCAAUGGACAGUUUCAAUAUAUUUAAAAUUUAUUGCUUUGAUUAUAUUGUAUCAGAUGUUAUUAUGCCCUUUUUUGCUUUCAUUGGACAGAAAUUUCACAUAAUAUUUAUUUAUUGAUUCUUCUAUCCUUUGAAAAAGGCACAAUAUUUUUGAUCUUGUGGACCCCUUUCUAUAUAAAUUUUAUAGUUUUAUCUAUGCACCUCAUAAGAUUUUUGAUAUCGCUGAAAGUGUGAUUUCUUUUACAUGCGCUAUAUAUGCAACUCUUUCAAAUUUACCCAUCCAAAAAAAUGUGUCCCAGUAAACUUUUAGUUAAACUUUGUGGUUUUUCUGAUUUCUCAUUAGCAUUUUAAGAUAGUUGUCUCAGUAGUAAUUUCAUUUGUGAUUGAUGAAAUUCUGUAUUAAAAUUUUUAAUAUAAAAAAGUAAGAGGUUAUAUAGUGGUAUAAAUAAAUUAUUUUCAGUGUAAAGUUGUAAUACAACAAAAUUAUAAUAAGGUAAUUAAGUUAGAAAAGAAAAAAGAAGCUAAUGGGCCUAAGCCCAUUACAUAAUUUGGUCUUCCACUUAAUCAACCAAAGCAAAAGGAAAAAAAAAAAGGAAUAGAAGGAUUAAGGGCUUUAUGCCCGUUAUCUGCAUAUUGGCAGAAAAAAAUAGCCAACAGUCUGCACCAUUGAAAAAAAAUUAAAGGGUAUUAAGGGAGGGUUCCACUUUUAGCAAACCAAAGAGAAAGAAAAAAAAGGAGUUUGACUGGAGAUUCCUUUUGGGAUUAAGGGUAUGCCCCUCCUUAGGGGCUCACUAUGAGGGUCUGCCUGCAAGUCAUAUAUGUCAUAUAUUGGCUCGAGUCAGAGAAACUAGUAUCUGACAUUUCAGCUAACGCUGACGCCACAAGAACAGGUUCGGACGCUCAGAUUCUCGACCGUGCAUAGAUGGCUUCAGGUUCAAUCAGCAGCAGUACACUAGACUUGAGUCCUCAUCAUUCAAGGAUGUUCUAUUAUUUUAUUAUUUCAGUACUUAAUCAUUUCAGCAAUCGGAGUUAGUUGGGGACAUGCCCCAUCAACUCCUUAUUCAGACAGUUUAGAGGAUUUUAGACUAGAUGUUCAGACUAGAUAUUCGGACUUCAGUAUUUUCAGUAUUUAUGUUCAGUUUUUGUAUUCUUAUACCUUGUUCAGACAUUAUUUAGCUUUGAACCUUAUGACAGA